AGGUAAAAGAAAAAGAGAAAAAAAGACGAAAUCAGGCGGCCACGUAAAAAGAAGAAUAGAUACGACAUGGAUAGAUAGAAAUAAAAAAAGAAAGAAAGAAAGAAAAGAAAAAAACAAGAAAGUAGAUAUAUCAAGUGAGAAAAGACAAUGAAGAGAGAUAGAUGGAUAGACAUAGAUUCGAAAAGAGUGAGUAUGAGAGAAAAAGAGUAAGUAUCGAAGACCGAUCGACGAGCCGUAGAGUGCCGUCGCCGCAACGGCGAUCGAUUCAAGGGGAUUCGGGGUAAUUAACGAGUGGAUCAAUCGGGAUUGGUUCGCGAGACAAGAGGAGGAUGAGAGAAUGAAAGAGAGAGGUAGAGAGAGAGAGAGAGAGAGAAAGAGAGAGAGAGAGAGAGAAAGGGACAGAGAGAAGAGGGAUGUGGGGUGUAUCGAUGACACGGAUUCAGCCGCGAAAGCACCGUCGUUUCGUUUGCAAGCGUUACAUUGGCGUAUCCGAUGAGAAGGGUUGGUGGUGGUGAUGGUGGUGGUGAUGGUGGUAUAGAACGAGAGAGGACGAAGAGAAAGAAAGAAAGACAGAGACAGAGAUAGAGAGAGAGAGAGAGAGAAAGAGAGAGGAGAGACAGACAGAGACAGAUAGAGAGUGUGGGACGGCACGAGUAGACGUCAUUUGUGGGAUUUAGUGCGGAGAGCGUCCACGGCAGUUCGGCACGAUCGAGUUUGCAUAUGGAACCGCGGCCGUUUCGACGUACAUGCGAGAAAUUGACGGGUGUGGUGCCGAUAGGAAUAACGAGUUUUUGGUUUAAAUAGAGAAGACAUACGUAAAAGUCGUAAGUUUUCAUUGUUUAAAAUAUUUCCAUAUUGGUAGAGGAAAAGAUGUAAACAAUUAACAAGCAAAUGAUUAUGUAUGCGUCAGAGAAUUUGAUAUAAGUGCAUAGUGUUUCACCGUCACCAAAGAUAAUUAGUGUGAUAUCAACGAUGCCCAAGGUAACCAUCACCAGGUAUGUCAGCCAAAAUUCAGCGAUCGAUCAGUCAGCCAUUGGUGUAUCAUCCCAAGUAUAUGGAAGAGAGUAACAUGGAAAAAAGAAAAAAGAAAUAGAGAUUAUAUCUUUACUUUGUUCGACCUCAUUGGUUAACGACUUGUACCUGCAAAAAAGAAACGCGAAGAGAAUGAACGAAAAAGGCCAAGAACCUCCGAACCGAACGGAUUUCAAAAGGAUCUUCGUCUUUAUUAACGCGAAAGGAAAAAGGAAGUCUUUGUUCGUUACAGAGAAUUCGCUCGUUUACUGGGUCAGCUCCGGUGUGACUCAAACGCUAAAGAGAUAACGACCUACUCUGGAUUAAGACGAACUACUUUAGAUUUUUUUACAAAUAUUAAAUUCUAUACAGAACGAAUAUAACAUGAUACAUGACAAGGGCUCAUAAAUUAUAUAAGCAUACAAUAAUGAAUGUAAAAAACACACAAGAAGAAAAUAAAAGAACAAUUAAUGCUUAAUAAAUAUAGAAAAAUAUUCUAUACAUUAUUAUUCCUUCUAAUUUCACCAUGUCCUUAAAUCUUCGUUAAUCUUUCAAAUAUUUUCAUUGCAAUUUCUUCAAGUAGAAAUAAUAUCAUUCGUAUUCAACGAAAUCGUAGUUCUUAUCGCUUAAUUGCUUACGAACGAAUCGAGAAUACUUUUAAAUGACCAGUCAAUUAGUCUUGAACCGUUCGAUAUCUCGAUUCGUUUUCUAUUUCUUGAACAAAAAAGAGCAAGUUACGAAGUAUUUCUACGGAGCACUGCUGAAGACUAAAUAAAAUUGUUCAAUAGUUGGCACAUAACCGAUGAGAAAAAGAAUUCGACGAGUUUUCACAAGUAUAAAACUCUGAUAAUGAGCUGACUCAUUCGCAAAGUAAUAGAUUUGAAUCAUCUAAUUACAUCUUUAUAUUUUAUACAUACUGUUAUAAAAAUAUUUUAUUAAACAUAAAUUUAUUUGAACUUCGUACAGGCAAGUAAAAUAAAUUAUUAUAGGUGAAUAAAAAUUAUUCAAAAAAUUAUUUCAAAUUUCCCAAUACACAAUUACCGACAAAAACAAUGAACAAAUAAGUCUAUGCAUUUUAAAUAAAAAUAAUUUAAAAUUAUUGACGAUAAAAGACUCAUAAUCCGAUUACAUUUAAUGAAUAUCAUUCUUCCCAUGUUAUUUUAUUAUUUGAUGUUAAUCGAAUUAUUGUAAGAGUUAUUAUAAAAAUGAAUUAAGCGGGGAAAAUAUUCUCCGAUACUUGUAAAGCUUAUUAACGAUAAAAUAAAAAUUACGAUUCUUCUUCGAUUCUUAUUCAUAAAAUGUACUUCAUUAAUUACCUUUCAAAGCGUACAAAGUGCAUAGAAUUCAUCAUACGUUCGAAAAAGUUUGUGUUAUAUAGUCGAUAUUCUCCGAAGAUUCAAAACAUCAAUCGAUUUUUGUUUUUAAUUUACAAAUUUGCUGUCCUUGUUCACGUUUACUUGAGCAAAGUCGUCAGAAUAUUGUUAAGAAGAAAUAAAUAUAGAUAAAAAGAGAAAGAGAAGAGAAAACGAAAGUAGAACGAUAAAUUCGAGCGUUUGUUCAGCUGCUACGACUUUAUGAGCUCGAUUUCCUCUUAAUCAAGAUAAACGUUAUAUGUACGAAAGAGAUAUUCUGACAUAUCUUAUUCAUAAAUAGAUAUAUUAAAAUUCAACUUCAUUACUGGAAUCUUAAGUCGCACAAGGAUAGAUAUUUUAAACCUGUUUGCUACAUCGGUAGAUACAAAUAAGAAACAAGUAUUAGAUAUACUUAAGAAAAUGUUAGAUGAAAGUAUUGAAGAAGAAUAUAAAAAAUAAUAAAAAGAGAGAG